GUGUUUCACUCAAUCACUCAAGUGUUUAAGGUGACACUCCAACUCUCUAUUAUUCACAAGUCACAUGAAACAAAAUUGCCAUUCAUCUCAAACAAUCAAAAUCUUCACAUGCAAAUGCCAUCAUAAGGACUUUUCUAAGGCUUGUAUUGAGGUUGGGCUAACAAGAAAAAAUGGGUUUUCUGAAAUGCAAAAUCUUUGAGUUAAGAGAGCUAUAAUAAUAUUCAAAGUUUAAGCACAACUCUCUACCUCACCAAUCGAACUUAUUCCCAACUUCCUCCCUUUUCUUUUAUUUUUACAUUGAGCUCAUCUUCUUGCUUUUCUUCUUUUCUUUUCUUUUUCUCAUGCAUUUUUCUUUCUUCACAUUUGAGCUCAAUGCUUUUCAAUUGCCUUUCAAUUUCCCCCAUACAACCCCAAACUUGAACCUUUUCA
rnacentral:lncRNA from 1 species